GCCGGGAUAGCUCAAUUGGUAGAGC
rnacentral:tRNA from 1 species